rnacentral:snRNA from 1 species
AUACCUUUCUCAUCCUUUUGGCUAAUAUCAAGUGUAGUAUUUGUUCUUAUCAAUUUAAUAUAUGAUAUGUGUUUCACACAAUCACAUGGUAUUAAAUGUAUUUUUUUAGGGGGAGAGCACAUUCAUCAGUGUCUUGUUGGGGCUCUCUUGAAUUGCUUAUGCACUACACUACAACACGUGUUAGGUGCACCCCAA